ACCACCCGGUGGCAGCCAUUAAUCCCCCUCCUGGCGGCGCGGGCUGGCCCGGCCGCCUGCCUCCUCCUCCCCCGGGCCCGGAUGAGAUCACCGCGUCGGGCGGCCGGCUGUCCCCGCGCUCCCAACAAAUCGACUCCUCGGCGAGCGCCGGCAUCUCAUGAUCUCAUGGCCCCGCGGGACGGCGCCGGCCGAUGAGGUCACAGCCCCGCGCCCCGGGCCGCCCCGCAGGCUCCGGGUCUGGCCUCCGGGCGUCCCGCGCCGGUACCAGGCCCCCCAGUCUGAGGCUCUUAGCCCUUCGCGGACGAAGGAGGUCUCAGUUUGCGAAGGGCAAGGCUGCCUUUUCCAUCCUUUUGACGCAUCUUUGCGCGUCCACUCCCCGCUCUCUUAUUUGAACAUUUCACCCCGAAGACCCCUUGUCCAGCAGGGAGUGACCUCAUCAGCUCCCCUAAACUUGAAGUCAGGGGCCAUGCGACGCGGCUUGCCUGCAGGAUUUCACAGCCGCUGAGUGAAGGAAGUUGUGGAGCUGUGUCUUACAGACGAAGAAACGGGAUCAGAGGGAUAAAGGAAUCUGCCCCAGGUUACCCACCUAGGGAAGGGUGACGCAGGAACCCGGACCGCCAUGAUGUGAAUGAGCCCUUUGACAGCCUUUUUCUUCUCCUUACCUGUACCCCAAACCUCUGCACCUUUACCCCAGUUCCUCCUUGCUCUGGUGGAAACAGUGGUAACGGCCCCACUGGCGGCGUGCCCCCGCAAUGCUGGGUCCUGUUCCACAUGACAGACCACUGUAGAGGAGUUAUACGGACCAUUUUACAGAUGAGAACACAAGGCUCGGAGAGGUCAAGUUACUUGCUGCAGAACUGGGACUUGUACCCAGGGUCGCCAUCAAACCCAGUUGAAGAGGGUCCAGUGAGAGCCUAUUAGAGGCUUCACAACUCACUUGCCAGCAGCAGAUUUCUCCCAUCACUUAGAGACUGCUCACUCACACCACUCCUCAGAAGAUCUCCAGCAACAUACACAGCCAGGAACGACAGGAAGGAAGGGACAUAACAUUUACUGAACGGCAGUGCUGAACGAGGCACUGAGCCAGGGCCUGUUACUAAGGGCAAAGCUGGGAGGGAUAUUAUCAGCCCAGGUUUGCAGACGAAAAAGCGGGUGUUUUUUUUUUUGAGAUAGGGCCUCACUCUGUCACCCAGGCUGGAGUGCAGUGGUGCGAUCUCAGCUUACUGCAGCCUUGACUUCCUGGGCUCAAGCGAGCCUCCCCUCUCAGCCCCAUGAGUAGCUGGGACCACAGGUGUGUGCCACCAUGCCCCAGAUAAUUUUUUACAGACUUUUUUUUUGUAGAGAUGGGGUCUCCCUGUGUUGCCCAGGCUGGUAAAUUUUUUUUAAAACCAAAGUCAGAUGUCAAGGAAGUACAAGUUUCAGCUCAAAUGUCCAUCCCACAGAGAAAGCCCUUUCCCAUUUCCCUAAACGAAUUCUCCAUGAAUUGUUUUUAUUUGUUUCUAGUGCUUGUUGAAACUUGAAGUUCUGUAUUUGCGUGUUGAUAUAGUUUAAUGGUGAUUUCCCCAAUGAAAUGAGAGCAGGGA